GGGGCCGACUUGGUUUCGACAGGGGUUGCA
rnacentral:tmRNA from 1 species